GACGAACGCUGGCGGCGUGCUUAACACAUGCAAGUCGAGCGGUAAGGCCCUUCGGGGUACACGAGCGGCGAACGGGUGAGUAACACGUGGGUGACCUGCCUUUAGCUCUGGGAUAAGCCUGGGAAACUGGGUCUAAUACCGGAUAUGACCUCAUGAUGCAUGUUGUGGGGUGGAAAGCCUUGUGCGGCUGGAGAUGGGCCCGCGGCCUAUCAGCUUGUUGGUGGGGUGANGGCCUACCAAGGCGACGACGGGUAGCCGGCCUGAGAGGGCGACCGGCCACACUGGGACUGAGACACGGCCCAGACUCCUACGGGAGGCAGCAGUGGGGAAUCUUGCGCAAGUGGGCGAAAGCCUGACGCAGCGACGCCACGUGAGGGAUGACGGCCUCGG
rnacentral:rRNA from 1 species